GACGAACUGUCCUAACGUUGUUCGGAAUCAUUGGGUUUAAAGGGUGCGUAGGCGGCUUAUUAAGUCAGUGGUAAAAUACUCUAGCUCAACUAGAGGGGUGCCAUUGAUACUGAUGAGCUUGAGUACAGAUGAGGUAGGCGGAAUUGACGGUGUAGCGGUGAAAUGCUUGGAUAUCGUCAAGAACACCUAUAGCGAAGGCAGCUUACUAGGCUGUAACUGACGCUGAGGCACGAAAGUGUGGGGAUCAAACAGG
rnacentral:rRNA from 1 species